GGCCCUAUGGUGUAAUGGUUAGCACUCUGGACUCUGAAUCCAGCGAUCCGAGUUCAAAUCUCGGUAGGACCU
rnacentral:tRNA from 1 species